AGUGUACUUAUUACACUGUAUUGGAAUCGCUUCUUUUCUCUUUCUCUGUGAAUUUCUUGAGAGCACAGACUACAUUCUGCUUAACUUUUUAUCCCCAGCUUUCAGCACAGUGCCUGGCUUGUCUGAGGCGCAUGGCCCCGGGAGAGGAGGAGAAUGGGACGGUGGUUCAGAUCUGCUGAUGUAGCUGUGGUCAGUCACUGGGGAGAAUAGGCCUGUGGAUUUCUGCUCCUCUGAGAUGGAUCCAUCACUGACUACUGAACUUGUUUUCUCAUUGGCUCAACUUAAGAAGGUUCUAGAGGUGAUUCUAAGCACAUUAAAAUCUGGAUGACACUUAUCUGAAUCAUUUCGCAACUUGGAGAGAGAUGGAGAAGACACGCAUGGUGUAACUGGGCAUCACCAGAAUGUGCACUGCCAUCUGUGGCUGUCUUCCUGCUGGCAAAUCCUUUUCAUUCCAAGCAAAUAAGAUUCCCUAAAUUAGACAAAAAGGAAGAAACACAACAGAGUCCAUAAUUCUGAGAGGAAGAGAAGAGUGAUCAUCAGCAGCAAAAGGCAAUUGCAGAGAAGCACCACCAAGAGCCAGCUUCAUGCUCAGGAGUGAAUGCUGAGCCGCCUCCUCGUGGUUUCCGGUGCUCCACAUGUUCAGAGAAACUUCUCUGCUCAAAUGUUGCCUUUUCCAAAACCACCCAUGGGCCUGCCCCCUGACAUCCUGUGCCUAUAAAAACCCCAUACUCAGCUGGCAGAGAGAAGAGAAGCAGCUGGACGUUGGUGACUAUGGUUAGACAUUGGAGAGAAGCAGCUUCACUUCAGAGGGACAGCUUGACACGUAACAUCAGAGAAGAAUCUGGCCAGAGAUGGCUGGACUUCAGGAGAAGAUUACCUUCCCUCUCCAUCCCCUUUUCAACUUCCCUUCCUGCUGAGAGCCACUUUCAUCGGCAAUAAAAAUCCCCUACAUUUGUCAUCCUUCAA
ensembl:lncRNA novel transcript, antisense to C7orf33 and CNTNAP2